GACAGAGGGUGCAAACGUUGCUCGGAAUCACUGGGCGUAAAGGGCGUGUAGGCGGGACAGUAAGUCGGGCGUGAAAUCCCUGGGCUCAACCCAGGAACUGCACUCGAAACUACCGUUCUUGAGUAUCGGAGAGGAAAGCGGAAUACCUGGUGUAGAGGUGAAAUUCGUAGAUAUCGGGAGGAACACCGGUGGCGAAGGCGGCGACCUGGGUAGAUACUGACGCUGAGGUGCGAAAGCGUGGGGAGCAAACAGG
rnacentral:rRNA from 1 species